rnacentral:rRNA from 1 species
UAGAGUUUGAUCAUGGCUCAGAAUGAACGCUGGCGGCGUGCUUAACACAUGCAAGUCGUACGAGAAAUCCUCUGCUUGCAGGGGAGAGUAAAGUGGCGCACGGGUGAGUAUCGCGUGGGUAAUCUACCCUUGGAUUCAGGAUAACACUUCGAAAGGGGUGCUAAUACUGGAUAAUAUCCUGAUGGUUUCGGCCAUAAGGAUCAAAGAUAGCCUCUACAUGUAAGCUAUUGUACAGGGAUGAGCCCGCGUACCAUUAGCUAGUUGGUGGGGUAAGAGCCUACCAAGGCAACGAUGGUUAGCUGGUCUGAGAGGAUGAUCAGCCACACUGGAACUGAAACACGGUCCAGACUCCUACGGGAGGCAGCAGUGAGGAAUUUUGCGCAAUGGGGGAAACCCUGACGCAGCAACGCCGCGUGAGUGAAGAAGGCUUUCGGGUCGUAAAGCUCUGUCAAGAGGGAAGAAAGUGGGAGAUGGUAAUACUGUUUUCUAUUGACGGUACCUCUGAAGGAAGCACCGGCUAACUCCGUGCCAGCCGCCGCGGUAAUAC